UACGGAGGGUGCGAGCGUUGUCCGGAAUCAUUGGGCGUAAAGGGCGCGUAGGCGGCCUUCUAAGUCGAACGUGAAAUCCCCGGGCUCAACCCGGGAACUGCGUCCGAUACUGGAAGGCUUGAAUCCGGGAGAGGGAUGUGGAAUUCCCGGUGUAGCGGUGAAAUGCGUAGAUAUCGAGAGGAACACCUGCGGCGAAGGCGGGUUGCUGGGCUGAUACUGACGCUGAGGCGCGAAAGCCAGGGGAGCGAACGGG
rnacentral:rRNA from 1 species